UCCCAGGCAAGAAAACUGAGUGGGUUGCCAUUUCCUGCUCCAGAAUUGAAUAAGGAGGCUCCAAAAAUAGGGAGAUUCCACUCCCCUCCCAUCAUCCAAAUUUUCAUGGGCAGAGAUGGUGUGUAUCCAUCCAUGAGCUUUGUUUCAGAGGGCUUCCCAGUAUCAUUAUGUGAGAGAUUAUACUGCUUGGAGUUAAGCCUUUUUGUGCUGUAUGUCCCAACAGGGGGAAAUUAGAAGAAAUUAAUACACAGUGGAAAAACUUCCAAGAAAUGACAGAUCAGUCUCAUUUUCAUGUAAUCCUUAUUUCAAAAUAUUCUGCAUGCUAUAAACUUCAGUGAAAUAUAUGUCAGUCCCUCCACUGAUGCUUGAAUACACCCACAGCAGAUCGUACUUUCAAAACUAGGGUCAACAAAUGGAGAAUGGUUUCAUUGUCUGCGACAGCAUUCCCUGAUUGGAAGCACUCCCUUGGGAAUUCAUUGCUGAAGACAAGUCCCACCCCUUCAAACUGCGGCCACCCUCACUCAGGAUCAUCCGACAAGACAUUGCCUGGGAAUCCAUCUGUUCUAGCCAGCUUCAGACAGACCAACACAGGUGAUUAACCAGGUGGUGAAAUGACAAAACUUCCUCUAUUCGUCAAUCAGUGAAUUUGAAGUAAUCUUUCAUCAAGUUUCAUCUCCUUUAGUCUCAUACAGAAUGUAUCUCUCUGUCUGUUGUUAAACUACGAUGACAUGUCUGUAGCUAUCAGAAAGAGAAGCUGGGAAGAACAUGUGACCCAAUGGAUGGGACAGCCUUUUAGUUCUGAUGAUUGUAACACAGCAUGUCAUCAUGGACUAGUAGCUGACAGCUUGCAGGCAAGUAUGGAAAAAGAUGCAAUUCUAAAUGUGGACCGCAAAGAGAGGUGUGUUUCACUCCCAGACUGCUGUCAUGGCUCAGAGCUGAGAGAGAUUCCUGGGAGGCCAAUGGGUCACAUUUCAAAGGAGGUAGAUGAGGAUGACAGCCACGAAGGUGAAGAUCAGUUUCUUUCUCUGGAGGCCAGCACAGAAACACUCGUGCAUGUUUCUGAUGAGGACACCGAUUCUGAUCUGUAUCUCACAGAUGGUAAACAGAUUCUAACUACUCAAGGACCUGAAACAUCAGACCAACAUAGCGUCAAAGGAGCAGGCUCCUUAGUAAAGACGCUACCCAUUGUGGAAAGUAAUCAAGAUUCUUGUGACUCUUGGGGAAUGGCUGGUGGAAUUGAUUUAGGGCUGGUUGAGGAAAAAGGGGACAGGAAAGCUGUUGACAUGGUGAGUAAAAGCCUGGAGCUUUGUAAGGAGAUAAGCUUAAGUGAAAUAAAAGAUCCGUCCAAAAUGAAUGCUUGCAGUUCUUUGAAUGUGAAAGAUACUGUGCCAGAAAAGCAAUUGCUUAAUUCUGCUGUGAUUGCUCAGCAUCGAAGGAAACCCGACUUCCCUAAAGAUGAACAUGAAAGCAACACCUGCAGUGCAGUACAAGAUAAGUUAUUGGCUAGUCCUCGUAUGGACAGAGGACUGCCAUUAUUAAAAACAGAUCCUGGAAGCUGCCUUCUGCAGCCUCCUUCCUGCCCUAGUGGAAUGUCAACUGAAAAUGGCCUGGAGAUGAGUGGUUUCUCAGAACAUCAAAACAAAAGUCUUCCAAAGUUCAACUCAGGAGAUGGCAUGCAGUGUUUACACUUCAAGGAGACUCUGGCCACCCAGGAACCCACAGAUAACCAAGUCAGACUUCGUAAAAGAAAGGUAAGACUCAUGCACCAAUUAUCUGGCUUUUGGAAUUUUGUAAAUAUCCUUGUUUCCAUCAUUUAUUAUUUUUGCUAGGGUUAAAAAGAUAUAUCGAUGUUUCUUUUGCCCUGUAGUGUAGCUGUA